GUGGGGAAUUUUGGACAAUGGGCGCAAGCCUGAUCCAGCCAUUCCGCGUGCAGGAUGAAGGCCUUCGGGUUGUAAACUGCUUUUGUACGGAACGAAAAGCCUCUGGUUAAUACCCGGGGGUCAUGACGGUACCGUAAGAAUAAGCACCGGCUAACUACGUGCCAGCAGCCGCGGUAAUACGUAGGGUGCGAGCGUUAAUCGGAAUUACUGGGCGUAAAGCGUGCGCAGGCGGUGAUGUAAGACAGUUGUGAAAUCCCCGGGCUCAACCUGGGAACUGCAUCUGUGACUGCAUUGCUGGAGUGCGGCAGAAGGGGAUGGAAUUCCGCGUGUAGCAGUGAAAUGCGUAGAUAUGCGGAGGAACACCGAUGGCGAAGGCAAUCCCCUGGGCCUGCACUGACGCUCAUGCACGAAAGCGUGGGGAGCAAACAGGAUUAGAUACCCGAGUAGUCC
rnacentral:rRNA from 1 species